rnacentral:lncRNA from 1 species
CUAUAGAAGUCCAUCUUUAACCUUCAAAAAGGUUCUAGAGAUUUGAAAAAGAGAUCCAGAUCAGCCAAGAAGAAGGUCUUCACGUGAGCUAGCACUUUCGAGAAGAUCGAUUAGCUCAGGUAAAGAUCGGAUGCGUGUGCAGCUGUGAGCAACUAGCGAGAAUCCUCUCUACCAUGUCUUUCAGCAGCAGCGAUCAUCGAUCCAUGCUCACGUAUCAAGUUCUGAACUCAAAUAGAAGUAGAUCUGAUCUACUAUUCAAAUCCAUG